GGGUAGACGAUGGCAAAUUGGUUAAUAUUCCAAUACCAACAUUAGUGUGCGAUGGAAGGACGCUUAGGGCUAAGGGGGCUAGCGGAUGGAAGUGCUAGUCUAAGGUCGUAGGAGGUUAUACAGGCAAAUCCGUAUAACAAUACUCCGAGAACUGAAAGGCUUUUUGAAGUCUUCGGAUGGAUAGAAGAACCCCUGAUGCCGUCGAGCCAAGAAAAGUUUCUAAGUUUAGCUAAUGUUGCCCGUACCGUAAACCGACACAGGUGGGUGGGAUGAGUAUUCUAAGGCGCGUGGAAGAACUCUCUUUAAGGAACUCUGCAAAAUAGCACCGUAUCUUCGGUAUAAGGUGUGGUUAGCUUUGUAUUAGGAUUUACUCCGAAAGCAAGGAAACUUACAACAAAGAGUCCCUCCCGACUGUUUACCAAAAACACAGCACUCUGCUAACUCGUAAGAGGAUGUAUAGGGUGUGACGCCUGCCCGGUGCUCGAAGGUUAAUUGAUGGGGUUAGCAUUAGCGAAGCUCUUGAUCGAAGCCCGAGUAAACGGCGGCCGUAACUAUAACGGUCCUAAGGUAGCGAAAUUCCUUGUCGGUUAAAUACCGACCUGCAUGAAUGGCGUAACGAGAUGGGAGCUGUCUCAAAGAGGGAUCCAGUGAAAUUGUAGUGGAGGUGAAAAUUCCUCCUACCCGCGGCAAGACGGAAAGACCCCGUGGACCUUUACUACAGCUUGACACUGCUACUUGGAUAAGAAUGUGCAGGAUAGGUGGGAGGCUUUGAGUAUAUGACGCCAGUUGUAUAUGAGCCAUUGUUGAGAUACCACUCUUUCUUAUUUGGGUAGCUAACCAGCUUGAGUUAUCCUCAAGUGGGACAAUGUCUGGUGGGUAGUUUGACUGGGGCGGUCGCCUCCCAAAUAAUAACGGAGGCUUACAAAGGUUGGCUCAGAACGGUUGGAAAUCGUUCGUAGAGUAUAAAGGUAUAAGCCAGCUUAACUGCAAGACAUACAAGUCAAGCAGAGACGAAAGUCGGUCUUAGUGAUCCGGUGGUUCUGUGUGGAAGGGCCAUCGCUCAAAGGAUAAAAGGUACCCCGGGGAUAACAGGCUGAUCUCCCCCAAGAGCUCACAUCGACGGGGAGGUUUGGCACCUCGAUGUCGGCUCAUCGCAUCCUGGGGCUGGAGCAGGUCCCAAGGGUAUGGCUGUUCGCCAUUUAAAGCGGUACGCGAGCUGGGUUCAGAACGUCGUGAGACAGUUCGGUCCCUAUCUGCCGUGGGCGUAAGAAGAUUGAAGAGAUUUGACCCUAGUACGAGAGGACCGGGUUGAACAAACCACUGGUGUAGCUGUUGUUCUGCCAAGAGCAUCGCAGCGUAGCUAAGUUUGGAAAGGAUAAACGCUGAAAGCAUCUAAGCGUGAAGCCAACUCUAAGAUGAAUCUUCUCUAAGCUCUCUAGAAGACUACUAGUUUGAUAGGCUGGGUGUGUAAUGGAUGAAAGUCCUUUAGCUGACCAGUACUAAUAGAGCGUUUGGCUUAUCUUU
rnacentral:rRNA from 1 species